rnacentral:lncRNA from 1 species
AAGCUAGACUACGUGCCUCUGGCUGUGAACCAUCUAUGACGUUUCUUAAUGCUGUACUUACAAAUGUGAAGUGUGAAUAGGGUUGGUCUCAGAAAAGAAGGUAUUUAUAUAAACCUUAGGCCACAGGAACUGGCAUUUUUCGUAGUAUAGAAAUUUAAUAAGAACCAAAUCACAAAAAUCCCAGCUCUCCUUUUGAGGCCAGGGACAAUCAGGCCAUUUGGACAAUCAGCAUUCCAGUCCCACUAAGUAUCGAGGCUGGAGAAUCACCACUUAGGUUCUUAAGGCGCUGUUGAUCCUUUUCUUGUAUUUUUGUUUUAGUUUUGGGAUUUAAAAAAAAAAAAAACUUACAUUUAAAGUUGCCUGUGGCUCAUAAGGAGAAAAACCUAGAACCAUUCAAAACAUAGAUCCUUAAAUUUCCAUGCACCGUCUCCCUUUUACAUUCCUCCAUUGGCUUUGCUCUUUAGUGCAGUCCCUAGGCCCGAGCUGGCCUAGCAUUUCAGUAACCUGUUGGGCUUUUAGGGCUUAGAGUGUUAAAUACAUGUCUUCUGUGCCCCUUUUUAAUUCAGCCUAGAUCCUGAUUGUGCUUCCUCAUUGGCUAUUCUCUUUGGUUGCAGGUCUUUUGUUAACACUUGUCAUCCUUUAUUGCAUUUCUUUCAUUGUUUGUUGAAGUCGAUAGCAAUGGGUACAACUCUUGUACAUUUGAAUGAAACUGAUUCUACAGGGUGUAAUGAGAGCUAAUGAAUGCCAUGCGGCGCCAGCUGGGCUGAAGCCUGGCUGGGUGCAUUCUCUAGUGUUGAAGGAUCAACACUCCCUGUAUCUACAACAAGGAGAUAUGUGUUCAUAAUACUGAACUUGACUUUUAAGGGAAAAAUGCUUUUCGUGAAAUUUGCUUAAGACCAUUGUUUUGCAGUAAUAAGGCAAUUGCGUGUUUCUUAGGGCUGAGUUUGUUGUCAAGACUAUUAAUGCCGCAGUGAUGGGUGCUAUCCCCGGGUUCUGCAGCGGUUCACAAAGUCUACCAUGUAGCUACUUUCAAGCCUCAUUCAGAUAAUCUUGCUAAGAGCUCUUCUGCACGCCCUGCCGGUGUUCUACUAUCCUCUGUCAACACUGCUUUGAACAGUGCUCUGUGAAGUGUAAGUUCUUUUGUCCCAACAGUUGUACUAGCUGUCAUGUGGUUAUUGUCUGAACAAGUCUUUUGAUUUUGUUUUCCUUAAAAAGUAUAUCCAUGACCGUACCAAUCUUCUGUAAUCAGAAUAUUAUAAUGCUGCGGCCAUUUUUAUAGAAGGACUGCAAGUUUGUGUCCUGGGAAUAUCUUGUACUCAUGUGUUUCUGUGAGCUCUGAGAUGAGGAGUCCUUGGGUAUGCCUGCACAUGUCUGUCUGGGUUAUGUGGGUAGACGCUAGGAAUUCUGCUCUUAAAUGAGACAGUGGGAAGCCCUGAGGCUCCUGAGCUCCCUCGCCGGCCAGGAUUUGCCACGUCUGGCCUCCGCCGCUGCGUUUCUUGUGGUUGUGCUGUUAAUGGUAAAGUCAAGUGCCUUCAAUGCUAAAGGCUCAGAAACCUUUCUUAAACUGAUUUCAUGUCCUAUGCAAGUGUUUUUACAACCUGCAUAACCAGUACUUUGUAAAACUUGUUUACGCUUCAAUUGUACAUAGUGUUUUUUAAAGAAAUAUAUAGUAUUUUUAUUUAGGUACCUCCAAACUUGAACUCGUCUGUGUGAAGCAUUGUAAACGACACGUUUCUCUUUUGAGUACCAUCACAGUUGUACAGAGGUUUUCACUGGUUCUAUUUUUCUACUGUUACUGAUAAGCAUGUAACACUGACUUUAUCCUACAUAGAGUUGGCAUUUCAAAUAAACAGCUUGU